UGCUGGGCGGAGGGGGUGCCUUGCUUCUGCCUCAGGAGCCCGGGCUUCCCAGAACGUUAGGUGUGUAUCCUGGAGAUUUUCCCUAUCGAUGCAGCAAUGAGGCCCAAGUUCAGAACGAUGGGAUGCGGAGAGAAACCAGGUCUCGAUUCUGAUUCCCGGCUGGCAACCACCAAGCCUGUGGGAUUCCCCCCACCCCAGCUAAGGCAAGCUGUGCAGCCUCUGGUGGGUGGGAUCUUGGGGGGAGCCUCUUCCCCUUUCCGAAGACCCCUCUGUCCUUUCUCUUCCGGGAGUCAGAGCCAGGUGGAGCUCUGCGCUCCACAGAGCACUUUGGAAUUCAUAAAAUGGUAAUUUAUUGAACAAGCCUUUGGAAAAGGGAAGUAAUGAAAACCGCUAUAUAAAUUACGAGGCCAUUGGUGUUAUAUGGCUGGAGCUAAUGCUGUUAGUCCCCAGAAGGGUGCAGGGAGCCUCCCCCGACUCCACCCUUCUUGGC